rnacentral:lncRNA from 1 species
AGAAUUUAUUCUGUUUUUUUUUCCCCCAUUACUACAGGGAGGAAAUGUGCCUUUAAAACAUGGGAAAUGAUAGAAACGAUAUUCAAUCAACCUACCUGUAGGAAAGACACUUCUAAAAUCAUGUCAUUGAUGAUUCGCCGCCACGCGGGUAGUUCCGUUCUUCCCAUUGCUCUCAUCGUCAUGCUUCCCUUCAUCUCCCCGGCCGUUGUCAACUCGGCCCAUCAAUGCUCCAAUUGAACCCUCCAGCGCUGGCAAGAGGAAGCCUUCCUCAUCAUCAGAAAACUACUGCCCACGCCUGAAUCCCCACCCCUCGCCGUUGGCCCC